rnacentral:tRNA from 1 species
GGGGUUGUGACUCAGUGGUAGAGAGCUCGCCUAGCAUGUGCCAGGCCCUGGGUUCCAUCCUCAGCAUCACACA